rnacentral:rRNA from 1 species
AUACGUAGGGGGCGAGCGUUGUCCGGAAUUACUGGGCGUAAAGGGCGCGUAGGCGGCUUAAUAAGUCUGAUGUGAAAAUCCUGGGCUUAACCCAGGGCUUGCAUUAGAAACUGUUGAGCUUGAGGACAGGAGAGGAAAGCGGAAUUCCCAGUGUAGCGGUGAAAUGCGUAGAUAUUGGGAAGAACACCAGUGGCGAAGGCGGCUUUCUGGACUGCACCUGACGCUGAGGCGCGAAAGCCAGGGGAGCGAACGGGAUUAGAUACCCCGGUAGUCCUGGCCGUAAACGAUGGAUACUAGGUGUGGGAGGUAUCGACCCCUUCCGUGCCGCAGUUAACACAUUAAGUAUCCCGCCUGGGGAGUACGGCCGCAAGGCUGAA